rnacentral:misc_RNA from 1 species
GAACGCAUAUUGCGCCCUCUGGUAUUCCGGAGGGCAUGCCUGUCCGAGCGUCAUUACUAUCCUCAAGCGCAGCUUGUUUGUUGAGCCAUUGUCCCUUAAUGGACAGGCUCGAAAUGCAGUGGCGAUGCCGAGUUUGGUGCCCGAGUGUAUGGAGCUUUGUCACACGCUUUGGUGGCCCAGCCGGCAUUCUGUCUUUAUAUCAUCUAAGAUUUGACCCCGGAUCAGGUAGGAAUACCCGCUGAACUUAAG